rnacentral:ncRNA from 2 species
UUAAUAAUAAAAUCUUAUCCGCAUAUAAUCUGGUGAAUAGGCACUGGAGUAUCUACAAAGAGCCGUAACUCUUUACUAUGGGGAGUUAUUGUUGUACU